GUGGGGAAUAUUGGACAAUGGGCGAAAGCCUGAUCCAGCAAUGCCGCGUGAGUGAUGAAGGCCUUAGGGUUGUAAAGCUCUUUUACCCGGGAUGAUAAUGACAGUACCGGGAGAAUAAGCCCCGGCUAACUCCGUGCCAGCAGCCGCGGUAAUACGGAGGGGGCUAGCGUUGUUCGGAAAUACUGGGCGUAAAGCGAACGUAGGCGGCUUGGCAAGUCAGGGGUGAAAUCCCAGUGCUCAACACUGGAACUGCCUUUGAAACUGCCAGGCUUGAAUCCUGGAGAGGCGAGUGGAAUUCCGAGUGUAGAGGUGAAAUUCGUAGAUAUUCGGAAGAACACCAGUGGCGAAGGCGACUCGCUGGACAGGUAUUGACGCUGAGGUUCGAAAGCGUGGGGAGCAAACAGGAUUAGAAACCCUAGUAGUCC
rnacentral:rRNA from 1 species